rnacentral:rRNA from 1 species
GACGGAGGGGGCUAGCGUUGUUCGGAAUUACUGGGCGUAAAGCGUGCGCAGGCGGCUUCUCAAGUCAGGGGUGAAAGCCCAGAGCUCAACUCUGGAAUUGCCUUUGAGACUGAGUGGCUUGAGUACGGGAGAGGUGAGUGGAACUGCGAGUGUAGAGGUGAAAUUCGUAGAUAUUCGCAAGAACACCAGUGGCGAAGGCGGCUCACUGGCCCGAUACUGACGCUGAGGCACGAAAGCGUGGGGAGCAACAGG